GUUUCGGUGUUGCAUGCACAGGAUAGAUGGGACGCUGGGAAGGCAGUGCUUUGGCAUUGCUGGAGCGGACGUUGGGAUACCAUCCUUGCGACAUUGGAAUUCUAACCUGCGCCUCUGAAUCGAGGCGGGGGACAUUGUCAGGUGGGCAGUUUGACUGGGGCGGUCGCCUCCUAAAAAGUAGCGGAGGCGUUCAAAGGUUCGUUCGAUCUGGACGGAAACCAGAUGAUUGAGUGCAAACGCAUAAACGAGCCUGACUGCGAGACUGACGGGUCGAGCAGAGACGAAAGUCGGAGUUAGUGAUCCGGUGGUAUGUGAGUGGAAAUGCCAUCGCUCAACGGAUAAAAGUUACCCUGGGGAUAACAGGCUGAUCUCCCCCAAGAGUCCACAUCGACGGGGAGGUUUGGCACCUCGAUGUCGGCUCAUCGCAUCCUGGGGCUGUAUUCGGUCCCAAGGGUUUGGCUGUUCGCCAAUUAAAGCGGUACGCGAGCUGGGUUCAGAACGUCGUGAGACAGUUCGGUCCCUAUCUGUCGUGGGCGCAGGAUAUUUGAAAGGCGCUGUCCCUAGUACGAGAGGACCGGGAUGGACGAACCUCUGGUGCACCAGUUGUCACGCCAGUGGCACAGCUGGGCAGCUAUGUUCGGAUCGGAUAAACGCUGAAAGCAUCUAAGCGUGAAGCCGGCCUUAAGAUAAGAUAUCCCACUGAGUCAAUCAGGUAAGACCCCUUGAAGACUACAAGGUUGAUAGGCACACAGUGUAAGCGGAGUGAUCCGUUCAGCUAGCGUGUACUAAUAGGUCGAGGGCUUGACCCC
rnacentral:rRNA from 1 species